UGGGACAUUCAGUUCGUUGCUUUCCAUCUCUAGAGAGCACGCCUCAUUCUGAUUGUUUAGUUUGAAUUAGCACAUUGAGGACAAAACAUCUCUUUUGGUUCCAUCUACUGCAGAACCUACUGGACAGAACAAAGUCGAGGGAAGAAGUAUGCGAGUCAAGUAUCCGUGAUGACCAACUGAUGAAAAUCACAUUUGAGUGGCCCAGUCGUUUGAUCUGCUCCAACACUACCGUUCCGGCUUUCAGAUUGAGUAACCUGUACCCACGUCUACUGCAAACCUACUAGACAGAAUAAAAUCGAGGGAAUAAGUAUAUAAACUCUUUAGUUAAUCAAGAUGAAUAGAUUUGCCUAUCCGCAGACAGCUCUGAAUCAGUUUUUACCCUUUCUUUUCUAGAAAGAUAAGAACAAUACCCAGUACGAUCCUCUUCUUCUGUACCAGCUUCACUGAGGAGCCAAUUAGUACAAAAAUGUCUUUUGAAUUUCAUAGUUUUGGUCAUGAUGCCAUCAUACCGCAUGCAUGGUGCUUAUGCAACUAUAAGUCUAUAACUACAGAAAUGUACCUUUCUUUGCCUACAGCUAAAUAUGACCCGUCUUAGAUGGUUUGGAAGAACUAAUAUAUGUACUCUCCCUUUUGCCUACUUUUGGGUAUGAAUAGUUCAACUGAUUUUUGGUGAUUCAGAUUAUAGUAUCCAGCUUUCCUGGCUCUAUUUUGUGCAUCUAAAUUUUUUGUGUGCAAAAAUGUUCCUGAAAAGACAUGAGUUGUAUAGUUCAGCAUCCUGCUUUGUGGUAGGUUGAUAAUAUUCCAUUUUUAUGAUUACCCUGCUUUAGAUUAUUCUUGUGUGCCUUGUGCAGCCUUUCCAUUCUAGGCAUCAUUUCUCAAUUGUUUGGGGUCCAAUUCUACAAAUGCUUGGAUGUGUUGGUUCGGCCUUCUGUUAAUCUCCAGAUGAUAGGUGAGGCAGGCAAGUUAAUUCUCUGGUUUCUCAUGAUACUUCUAAAAUCUAUUGCAUAGUAGGAUACGUGCCUGAAAUGUGUGCACACUUACAAUUUCGGUUGUUGUGGAGUUAAAUUAUAAAUUGAUUUGACACGAUAGAUAUAUAUAGAAAAAGCUUUCAACCAAGCAGACUAUUCUUUUAGUAUAUAAAUAGUAUGGCUAUAUACACUGAGUGCAAAAGCUAUUUGUUUGCCACUUAAGCUUAUAUAUUUUCUUUAGCUAUCGUCCUUUGACAUUUUCUUUAUGCAAUGGUUGGUUGAUCAAGCCGAGGACUUCCCUGCGGUGCUUGGUUGGACCAUGUUUCAUUCAGCUAAUAAAAUAGUAUAUAUGUGUGUGUGAUUGCUUCAUCAAUUUUCAGAAACAUUUGUUGCCCAGUAGCUUCCAAAUAGCAGUUUAGCUUUCUUUGUUGCACCUAUAUACUUGCACCUUACAACAACCAUCAUGUUCGCAAAUCGUCUCUAUGAAUGUCCUUUCUUUACUCAUUUAGGACUUAUGAGUUGAUUAAUAUGUCACUCUCAAUAAAGUGUUUUCUUUAAAUGAGGAAUGACAUAUAUAAUUGGUUCUAUUAUAGUAGCUAGCAUUCAUCUUUUCCAAAUAAAUUGUACUGCCUUUUGCUUUAUCUCUUGGUAUAUUUUUCAUUGCUAACAAUUGAUCUGUAGAGAUGCUAUUCUGUCAAGAUUUUCUGCUAUCAAAUAAUUCAUGGCCAGCUACAAUGUUUACCCUUUUAUGUAACUAUUGAGACCCUCUCAGCUGUGCGAUAUAAUCUCAGCUCUCAGGCGCUAGAUUAUGUAUGUACUUGCCUCUCGUUAUGGCACUCACAAUGCUUCAUGUUUGUUUACCUUUCUCAUUUCUGUGCUGUCCUGUAAUAAAACAAGAUAUUUACUCAAAUCCUUGCAGGAAUAACUAAGCCUUUCAAGGAUGUUGCUUGAAGAUGGAGGGAUCUUUCCCUACAAGUUUGUUCUUUUUGUUGUUACAGCAAAGACUACUUCCUGGGUUGUCGAGGUGAGUUGUAUGAUGUAAGCACUUAUGGAGGAGAAAAAAUUACUUAGAAUUUGACUUCUCCUGCAUUUAUAGGCUAAUCAAGUGACCUUUUGUCAACUUUUAUGCAAUCUGGCUCUCCAAAUUUUGUGCUUGCUCUGAACUCUCAAAAUUUGUGCUUUGCUGUCCUGUGUUGAUUAGUCAAAUCCUGGUUUUGUCUUAAAGACUAUACCCAGCCAUGUCCUAGGUUUUUCAUUUUGUAUGAAUUUCAUGUUUCCCUGGAAUAUGAGAAUACACCAACUGGAAGAACUGUUGAGCAACACAUUUUCAUGGGAUUUUAUAUGUUGUGAUGUCUGAUUUUUGUCUCUCUUCCAGUUUACAUAGAGAAGCCUCGGUAAGUACUCAAGAAUUUUGUUUUCGUCUAUAUUGACAGACUUUAGGUAUUUUUUUAGAAUGGUUCUGAAACGAGGUCACUCCUACUGAUCUUGCUCUUCGUGUCCGGUGGCAGGAUGCUAGGUCAAGAAUGCAGGGUGGGCGAAAGAAAAUUGUGAAUGCUUUUAUCUCCGUGGUCAUUUGGAGCAUAUGGAGGGACAAGAUAGCGGGCUUUAAUAGUGUCUUCGCGCUGCUCCAGAGAGUCAUCGAUCCUGAUACUAGGCAGUAGGCUGGUGUGAGCUUGGGUCAUUUGAUCAUCCCCGAUUGUGUAAAGACUCCUCUGGAAUAUAUGCAAUCCUAUUGCAUGGUUUAAAAAAGAAUGAUUCUGAAACGGGUGUAAAGCAGUGUACGUGCUUGGCCACAGCUAAACCUACUAAUAUAUGGAAUUUUUUUCAAAGCACACAUGGUGUUAGUGGGUCUCUGCUCCAGUUGGCGCAACGGGUGGUAUCAUGCCCAUGCCUAUAUGACACGAUAUACUUCUUUGUAAUGUAAUCAGUUGUGCAUGUCAAUGGAAGUGGUUUAAAGCAUGUAAGCUGAUGCAUCUUGUGCUUGCUUGUCACUAUUUGUACUAGGCAAGGUCUGCAAUAGAUUAUAUAUUCAUUCAAACAUGUACUUGGUUUGCUUCCUUUUCCUGCUUG
rnacentral:lncRNA from 1 species